rnacentral:tRNA from 1 species
GGGAAGCCAUGGGAUCUGGUGGUCUCCGCGGGCUUCAAACCCGUUGUGGGGCGGCGAGAGUCGUCCCGGGUGAGUUCGAUUCUCACGGUUUCCCGCCA